CGCGUAGGCGGGACAGUAUGUCAGAAGUGAAAACCAUGGGCUUAACUCAUGGCCUGCUUUUGAAACUGCUGUUCUUGAGUACGGUAGAGGGAAGUGGAAUUCCUGGUGUAGCGGUGAAAUGCGUAGAUAUCAGGAAGAACACCGGUAGCGAAGGCGGCUUCCUGGACCGUAACUGACGCUGAGGCGCGAAAGCGUGGGGAGCAAACAGGAUUAGAUACCCUGGUAGUCC
rnacentral:rRNA from 1 species